AUGUUGUCUGAAUUGGGAAGAAGACUAUGCUUGGGAGUAACGAGGGUUCUUUUUGGUGAUGAAUUGGAGAAGGAGAUCGGGAUGUUGCUUCGUGAGCAACGCAGACAAGAGGCUGAUGAUCGUGAACGAGAGCUUAAAUAUUUAUAGGAGUGGAUCAGCGCCUCCAACUGUGGAGGGUUCUUUGAGUGCUGUUGGAGGGUUGUUUGGUGGUGCUGCUGGUGCUCCUGCACUGGUGCUCCUGUCGCCUUUUCGGAAUUUCAAGGGACUAAGGAUGUGAAUGGGAUUACUUCUGAGGAAGAGCUUAGGUCUGAUCCAGCGUAUCUUUCAUACUACUACUCCAAUGUGAAUUUGAACCCUAGGCUGCCACCUCCUUUGCUGGUCAAAGGAGGAUUGGAGGUUUCAACAAAGACUUAAAGGUGGAGCUUCAGCUCUGGGUGGAAUUGGAGAUAGGAGGAAAGUGAACAGAACUGAUGAUAAUGGUGGAAGAUUGCUUUUUCCUACCCCGCCAGGUUUUAACAUGAGGAAACAAGAGAGUGAGGUAGAUAAUGAAAAAACAAGAGGUUCGGCCGAGUGGGGUGGUGAUGGACUGAUUGGUUUGCCUGGACUAGGGCUAAGCAAACAGAAGAGUUUUGCCGAAAUUUUUCAGGAUGAUUUGGGGCAUAAUACCUCUAUUGCACGCCUUCCUUCUCGUCCAUCCAGUCGUAAUGCAUUUGAUGAAAUGAUAUCAGUAGUUCUGCUGAUGCAGAGUUGGCUCAUGUACACCGUGAGUCCACACCCGCUGAUGUGCUCAGGUCAGGAUCAUCUGCGGCCCAAAAUGUUGGCCCACCAGCUUCAUAUUCCUAUGCUGCUGCAGUUGGAUCUUCCUUGUCGAGAAGCACUACUCCUGAUCCACAACUUGUUGCUAGGGCUCCCAGUCCCUGCAUCACGCCAAUUGGUGGUGGCAGAGCCAUUGCUUCUGACAAGAGAGCUAUUGCCAGUCAAGAUGCAUUUAAUGGUGUUUCAUCUGGCAUUAAUGAGUCAGCGGAUCUUGUGGCUGCAUUGUCAGUAAUGAACUUGUCAGCUGAUGAUGUGCUUGAUGGUGAAAACCAUUUGCCAUCACAGGUUGAAUCAGAUGUUGAUAAUCACCAGAGAUAUCUUUUUGGUAGGGCAAGGUGGUCAAGAACAUGGGAAAGCAACAUGCCUAUUUAAAGAAAUCUGAAUCAGCACACCUGCAAAAUUCAAGAGCAAGCAGCAGGAGUGGGUCAGAUCUCAACAAUCCAUCCUGGAUAGGCAGGUUGAGCUACAAAAGUCUACUGUUCCUUCCAAUAACUCAUAUUUCAAAGGAUCACCUACCUCCCAUUUUAGUAGAGGAGGAAGUAUGCCACCCCAGUACCAGCCUUUAGAUAGUACAAAUUCCUCAUUUGGUAACUAUGGUCUGAGUGGCUAUGCUGGAAAUCCAGCAUUGGCAUCCUUGAUGACUAACCAACUUGGCACUGGUAAUCUGCCACCCUUGUUUGAAAAUGUUGCUGCAGCAUCAGCAAUGGCAUCCCCUGGAAUGGACUUGAGAAUUCUUGGAGGUGGUUUGGCUUCUGGAGCUGCUGCUCCAUCUGAUGUGCAUAAUCUUGGUAGGAUGGGAAAUCAAAUUCCAGCAGUGCUCUUCAGGCUCCUUUUGUCGAUCCAAUGUAUCUUCAGUACCUGAGGACGUCUGAGUUUGCUGCGGCACAACUUGCUGCUCUCAAUGACCCCUCUGUGGACAGGAACUACUUAGGCAAUUCAUACAUGAAUUUACUUGAGCUUCAGAAAGCUUAUCUUGGGUCUAUCCUCUCGCCUCAAAAAUCCAAUACAAUGUACCGCUGGGUGGUAAAUCAGGCAGCUCCACUCCUCAUGGUUAUUAUGGAAAUCCUGCAUAUGGUGUCGGGAUGUCUUACCCAGGAAGUCCAAUGGCAAACUCUGUUGUAUCCAUUCCCCAGUUGGAUCUGCAAGUCCUGUUAGGCACAAUGAACUGAAUAUGCGUUUUGCUUCUGGAAUGAGGAAUUUGGCCGGGGUCAUGGGACCUUGGCAUGCAGAUACUGGGAACAUUGAUGAAAGUUUUGCUUCUUCUCUGUUGGAAGAGUUUAAAACCAAUAAAACAAAGUGUUUUGAGCUCUCUGAAAUUGCGGGUCAUGUUGUUGAAUUCAGUGCGGAUCAAUAUGGGAGUCGAUUUAUUCAACAAAAGCUUGAAACAGCUACUACAGAAGAAAAAACAUGGUUUAUCAGGAAAUCAUGCCACAUUCCCUUGCUUUGAUGACUGAUGUCUUUGGUAAUUAUGUGGUUCAAAAGUUUUUUGAGCAUGGACUUGCAUCCCAGAGAAGAGAAUUAGCCAACAAACUUCUUGGUCAUGUUCUGACACUUAGCCUUCAAAUGUAUGGUUGCCGUGUCAUCCAGAAGGCCAUUGAAGUUGUUGAUCUGAUCAGAAGAUAGAGAUGGUUCAAGAGCUUGAUGGUAAUGUCAUGCGCUGUGUACGCGAUCAGAAUGGUAAUCAUGUCAUUCAGAAGUGUAUUGAAUGUGUCCUGAAGAUGCUAUCCACUUUAUUGUCUCAACAUUUUUUGAUCAAGUUGUGACCCUAUCAACACAUCCGUAUGGUUGCCGGGUGAUACAGAGAGUGCUGGAACAUUGCAAAGACCCUACAACACAGCAGAAAGUUAUGGAUGAAAUUUUAGGUGCAGUUAGCAUGUUAGCUCAGGAUCAGUAUGGCAACUACGUUGUUCAGCAUGUGCUGGAACAUGGGAAGCCUCAUGAGCGUUCUUGUAUAAUAAAGGAAUUAGCAGGCAAGAUAGUUCAAAUGAGUCAACAGAAGUUUGCCUCCAAUGUUGUAGAGAAAUGUUUGACCUUUGGAGGUCCUUCUGAGCGCCAAUUACUAGUGAGUGAGAUGCUUGGGACCACCGAUGAAAAUGAGCCUCUUCAGGUUUGUUAAACUUUCUCUUCCUAA